CCAUUAGCUUGUUGGCGGGGUAACGGCCCACCAAGGCAUCGAUGGAUAGGGGUUCUGAGAGGAAGGUCCCCCACAUUGGAACUGAGACACGGUCCAAACUCCUACGGGAGGCAGCAGUGAGGAAUAUUGGUCAAUGGGCGCUAGCCUGAACCAGCCAAGUAGCGUGAAGGAUGACUGCCCUAUGGGUUGUAAACUUCUUUUAUAUGGGAAUAAAGUGCAGUAUGUAUACUGCUUUGCAUGUACCUUAUGAAUAAGGAUCGGCUAACUCCGUGCCAGCAGCCGCGGUAAUACGGAGGAUCCGAGCGUUAUCCGGAUUUAUUGGGUUUAAAGGGAGCGUAGGCGGGUUGUUAAGUCAGUUGUGAAAGUUUGCGGCUCAACCGUAAAAUUGCAGUUGAUACUGGCAUCCUUGAGUACAGUAGAGGUAGGCGGAAUUCGUGGUGUAGCGGUGAAAUGCUUAGAUAUCACGAAGAACUCCGAUUGCGAAGGCAGCCUGCUGGACUGUAACUGACGCUGAUGCUCGAAAGUGUGGGUAUCAAACAGGAUUAGAUACCCUGGUAGUCCACACAGUAAACGAUGAAUACUCGCUGUUUGCGAUAUACAGUAAGCGGC
rnacentral:rRNA from 1 species